rnacentral:lncRNA from 1 species
UUAUGCAACACUUAUCAAUUCAACAAUUUUCUUAAAGCAACAACAAAAUUCAGACUCCAAAGCAUAAUCACUAAUCUAAUCAGAGAAACCAAAAGAGAAAUAAUCAAAUGUUUUCUUGUUUCCUCUUGUAGAAUAUGAAGAAGAAGAACAACAGACGACACAUCAACGAAGUCGUAUGGCUUCUCUCUCAAAAUCGAGCAAGGUGAGGAUAUCACCUUCCCUCACCGGUCAUUAAACACAAUCAGUAAAAACUAAGCAAAACCAAUAUAAACCCAGAUUAUAAAUAAUUGAAAAAAACCAGAGAUUGAGUAAAAAAAAACAAAAUAUGAACAUAUCCACAAAACCACAUCCACAAGAGCACCAUAUAUAACACAAAAAUCCAACUAAUCCAUAAGCGUUUUUAGGUGUUUUUCCAACAAUAAAACAUAUCAAUUUACUUGGAUCCAAGGACAAACAAGAACAUGUUCAACAUUGAAUCCAAAAAAAUUUAGUUAAAACGAUUGACUUGUGAAUGAGAACUUGUAUCUUUCAAAAGAGGUAAAAGAAAGACCGACCGAUGAAUCCAACCAUUUGAUAACCUCCAGGUUCUCUCACAGUGUAGCUAGUACAAAAAGGUCAGACUUUUGAUACACACUUGAUAAAAAAAUUGUGAUAAAGGUCAAUUAAGUGGCAAAAAAAAGAAUUCAAAGAGAAGCAAGCAAAAGGCACAGAGGCGCGAGGUGGCGGCGGUUGACAGCGAGUUGUUUAGGAAAGAGAAGCAAAGAUCAUCGGGAGAUGAGCCCGAGAAGGAUUCUUGUUGGAACCACAACCUAAUGGUCUUCGCCGGCGUGGUUUGAAAAUAGACAAAGAAUGAAGUGGAGGCAUCGUCAAGAGCUGCGGAGGCUGCCUACGAGAAGUGGGACAGAGGGAAGCAUAGAUCUACGGGAGAUGAGUCGAGAAGGUAUCCGACAAUAACCAAAUCCAGAAGGUUUUCAUCGGCAAGAUUUGAAAAUGGACGGAGCGAGACAAUGAGACACCGGAGGAGCAAAGGGUAAAACGGUACCUCGGAGAUGAACCUCCGACGAGCACAAAAACAACACGACUAGGACCAAUAAACAGAGGAGACGACAAAGAAGGAAAACAAAACUUAGAAAAGCCGCCGGAAAACGAAGCCUCAGUGGUUGCAAGCUUAAGUUCUUAUUUUUAUUUUUUAGAUCUAGCACAUAAAGCUCUAAUUAUUCUGUUUUCAGAUUAGAAAA